rnacentral:rRNA from 1 species
GAUGAACGCUGGCGGCGUGCCUAAUACAUGCAAGUCGAGCGAACAGACGAGGAGCUUGCUCCUCUGACGUUAGCGGCGGACGGGUGAGUAACACGUGGAUAACCUACCUAUAAGACUGGGAUAACUUCGGGAAACCGGAGCUAAUACCGGAUAAUAUAUUGAGCCGCAUGGUUCAAUAGUGAAAGACGGUUUUGCUGUCACUUAUAGAUGGAUCCGCGCCGCAUUAGCUAGUUGGUAAGGUAACGGCUUACCAAGGCAACGAUGCGUAGCCGACCUGAGAGGGUGAUCGGCCACACUGGAACUGAGACACGGUCCAGACUCCUACGGGAGGCAGCAGUAGGGAAUCUUCCGCAAUGGGCGAAAGCCUGACGGAGCAACGCCGCGUGAGUGAUGAAGGUCUUCGGAUCGUAAAACUCUGUUAUUAGGGAAGAACAAAUGUGUAAGUAACUAUGCACGUCUUGACGGUACCUAAUCAGAAGGCCACGGCUAACUACGUG